rnacentral:rRNA from 1 species
GCUUAUACUCGACCGUCAGCGGCAAGUGCGAUCGCGCGAGCUUUCGAGCGAACGCGGUCACGAAGCCCUGACGAGUAGGAGGGUCGCGGCGGUGAGCGCAGAAGGGCUGGCCGCGAGGCCGUCUGGAGCCGCCGUCGGUGCAGAUCUUGGUGGUAGUAGCAAAUACUCCAGCGAGGCCCUGGAGGACUGACGUGGAGAAGGGUUUCGUGUGAACAGCCGUUGCACACGAGUCAGUCGAUCCUAAGCCCUAGGCGAAAGCCGAUGUCGAUGCGGUGUAGUUUUUACGAUAACAAUAAUAAUACGAGAAAUUCGACUACUACGACGACGACGGUGACGAAAUAAACGUUAAUUCGUCUCGUCCUUCGUCGUUGCGAAUAAUCGUAUAACUAACGCGAGAGCACACACCCGUCGGGCGAAAGGGAAUCCGGUUCCUAUUCCGGAACCUGGCAGCGGAACCGUCAAAAAGUCGGGC